GUGAGAUGUGAGGCACUUGCAGAGACUCAGUCCACCACCCUGGGCAGCUUUCACCACCCUGGGCAGCUUUUCCGAGACGUAGGGACUGGCUUGCCGUAAUUCAUAGCUUCUGCUGUCCCUUGCUACAUACCUCCUGUUUGGUCACAAACUAGGAUUGCAGCAUCUGCUUGUAGGCUCAAAAUAAAGGGAUGGAGAAAAAUCGACCAAGCAAAUGGAAAACAGAAAAGAGCAACUUGCUUCCUGAAAAUUCACGGCUGGAGUGCGGUGGCAUGAUCUCGGCUCACUGCAAACUCUGCCUCCCCAGUUCAAAUGAUUCUUCUGCCUUCUGCCUCAGCCUCCCAAAUAGCUGGAACUACAGCAAGGCCAACUUUUCUACCAGAUAACCCUGACCUCAUCCUGUCAGAAUUGAAUGGACCAAGAAUUGAGCUACCCUAAAAGGCCAGUUUUCUGGAAAUAGUUUGAAGAUACCGACUCAUGGUUAAAUGUUUCACAUUUACCCUCAGAAAUGAGUGCUACUGUUCAGAAACGGAGGUGCCCACUUUGCUUGUGGGAUUUAGGAGGAAAUGCCACACACUGUCAUAGAAAAAAUGGCGUCUCACUCUAUUGCCCAGGCUAGAGUACAAUAGUGCAAUCUUGGCUCACUGCAACCUCCCCCUCCCAGGUUCAAGCCAUUCUCCUGCCUCAGCCUCCCGAGUAGCUAGAACUACAAGCACGUGCACUGUACCCAGCUAAUUUUUUGUAUUUUUAGCAGAGACGGGGUUUCUCCAUGUUGGCCAGGCUGGUCUCGAACUCCUGACCUCAGGUAAUCCACCGCCUCAUCCUCCCAAAAUGCAUUAUCUCUUCCCAAAAUGCAUUAUCUAUUUCAUUAAGAAAAAGGAGAAAGCAACCAUGCUAAGCUUCAAAUAAAAGCAUGUGAGCACACCUGAUGACGCUAGACCCACUGGAAUCUCGCAUAACUCAUCCUGAACGUGUUGGGAAUCAAGUCUCUCAGGAUUAGCCCUGGUAAUCUGAAAGUCACCAGUCAUCAAGAAGUGGCAUCUCUACCAUGUGGUGCAAUCAUAGCCCUGAACUCAAAUUUCUGUCUGAUAUAUUUGAUGUGAUCCCUCCUUUUAUACCCUUUUAACUUCUGCUUGGAGAGACCCACUGACCUUGUAGCUGACUGUCAGAACUUUUCCUUGCCAGGCCAGCAAUAAAU
rnacentral:lncRNA from 1 species